CACUGCCCGUCACACCACGAAAGCUGUCUGUACCCAAAAUCAUCUUAGCAAACCUGUAAAGGAUGCGGGUGCUUAAGGUGUGGGGAGUGAUUGGGGUG
rnacentral:rRNA from 1 species